UACGGAGGGUGCAAGCGUUGUCCGGAAUCACUGGGCGUAAAGGGCGCGUAGGCGGCUCAUGAAGGCUGUGGUGAAAGUCCGGGGCUCAACCUCGGAUCGGCCGUGGCGACUCGUGGGCUGGAGCACUGUAGAGGCGGGUGGAAUUCCGGGUGUAGCGGUGGAAUGCGUAGAGAUCCGGAAGAACCCCAGUGGCGAAGGCGGCCCGCUGGGCAGUGGCUGACGCUGAGGCGCGACAGCGUGGGGAGCAAACAGG
rnacentral:rRNA from 1 species